rnacentral:rRNA from 1 species
CGGCGAACGGGUGAGUAACGCGUGGAGUUAUCUGCCCUGAGGUGGGGGAUAACCCGGGGAAACUCGGGCUAAUACCGCAUAUGACCGUGAGGUCAAAGGGGGGUCGCAAGAUCUCUCGCCAUAGGAGGAGUCCGCGUCCGAUUAGCUAGUUGGUAGGGUAAUGGCCUACCAAGGCGACGAUCGGUAGCCGGCCUGAGAGGGUGAUCGGCCACACUGGAACUGAGACACGGUCCAG